rnacentral:lncRNA from 1 species
UAGAUGGGAUCAACGACGGAAAGGUAGCGAAGCCGAUGCCAGGCGCGAAAGAUGCGAGGAGGGAGAGAAUGAAGAUGAAAAAGUUGUUGAGAAGGUGAGUCUAGGAGACAUUGAAGAGAGAAAGAGAGAGAGAGAGAGAGAGAGAGAGAGAGAUGGGAGAGGGUAAGAGGGAGUCCAGGAGUAGGUGGGGGAAGAUGUAAAUUGUUUGUAAAGAGGAAUGUGAGGAAGCAUGCGGUGGGUCCAACAUAUGCUUUGCAAAUAUGAAGACACUGUAGCGGGCCCCACAUAGAGUUAAUGCGGAGAGCGUUUCAAGCUGCCAAAUUAUAAGUUUAUUCUUAUGCUAAAUAACAGAAAACUCCCUAUCAAUAUCCGCUUUUUCACUUUCUCCUGCUGUCAUUCAAAAAUCUAUACUUUGCCCCCUUAAAAAAUAAAAAAAUAUUGACUUUGACCCCCACCGUCAGUAUUCCGUUAGAAUUCCAUUUAUAUCCUAUUUUUUACACCCAAAAUAUCACUGAAACCCUUCUCCUUCCUCAUCCUCAGUGGCGCCGCCUCACCCUUGCCCACCUCUCUGUCCAUACCCACACACACGCCUUGGCCCACCUCCGCCGCCUUGCCCUCGCCCUCACCCUCGCCCACCUCUCCGUCCACGCUCACCCCAAA